UUUAAUCUCACGUUAUUGUUUUCAAGAUUACUAUUGUUUUGAGAAUUUUGGUUUAUAAUUGUUAUUCUAAUUAUGCUUAUGGUAACUAAGAAAUCUCAACUUAGGCUUCUGUAAACUGAAGGAUGAUAAAACUCCUCAAAGUUCCCAGAGAUGCUAAGCUAAUUCCUAUACAUUAUUUGCAAUUUCCAUGAAAUAGUGAUUCAAGAAAAAAAAAAAUUUAAUGGAUGCUUAAAAUAUUAUAUAUGCUAUAAUCCUAUAAACAUCAUUAGAAAUAAACGAUUUAAAAGAAUUCUUCAUUAGCAAGAUAAAACAGUGAUCUUACAAACAUGACAAAUAUCUUCAUCCAGCAUAGCCACAUCCAAAAUCCCCAGAGCCUUUGAUGGAAUCUAAAGCCAAAGCAAAAAUGCCCGAGAAAGUACCUAUAAGGCAAAUAAAGAGUUAAGAACAUUCUAUAAGUGGCAUGGUAAUAAAAGAGAACAGAAUAGAAUACCCAAUAAGAAGAAUAGAUAAGAGAAAAACUAUCAACCAGUCAAUACAUAAAUCCAGUGGUAAUUAGUGGCCAGUGGGCAACUGGGCAAAAUCAAAAUUCUUGCUAAUAGUAUCAACACAGAUACAUAGUUACAUAAACUUGACAACAAAGGGUCCAUUUGAUCGCAUGAAACUGUUAACGAAACAGCAAGCAUAUAAUUGGCAUGUUUAUCAAUCACAAGAAAACCUAUUGGUACUCAUAAACAAUAGUUUUACAGUUUUCACUGAAAAUAUGUAUGCUUUUAUUAUGUAUUGAAAAGGAAGAAACACAACUGAGUGUCUGAGUAUUAAUUGUUCAAGCAAUAUUCUUUAAUGCCUAUAGAAUUAAACAUUAAGACAAGGUGUGGCUGUGAUGACACUGGAACCACCAUUUUGCAGUCAAUAAAACUUUGCCCUCACCAACAAAAAGUUAUUGAAUAUAUAGUUUUACAUAUUUUUCGCUCUAUGAAGAUCCGUCCACUGAGUUUUAAUCCUAAUGAAGAUCAUAAAAUCAGAUUCUUACUCAUUACUAUGGCAAGAAAGGUCAUGUCCUAACAAAGUGCAUGUAGAGAUAUUGAUAACACACAUGAAGUCAAUGGUAUUUCAGAACUAACCAAUUGAGCAGCAGCUAGUAGACCACCAAAAAAAGAAUAAUUAUAUUUGUCUGACAUAAGAACUCCAAUAGGAGCAAUACUGGAAAUGCCAAUCCAUAAAAAAAUUCCUAUGCUGAGAUCGUCAACAAUUAAAUCUCAUAAUAAGGUCUUAUUUGGUAAAAUGUCAUGAUAUCACCCUCUUAGACCAUAUAAUUUAUAUAAAAAAAAAAGAAAAAAGUGUUUUCUCUGAAUACUCAGCUCAUUACUCAUUGUAAAGAACACAAGUUCCUUGAUAUUCAAUCAAUACUCGUAUAUACAUAUUUCAAAUUAACUUCAGCAAUCAAUUACCUGAUACAAAACCUGAUACCAAAUCUUGUUUUUCGACGUUACUUCAUCCUAUACCAAUUAUGCCUUCUUCUAAAAUUCCACUUCAGAGAGAGCCAUGAAGGACGUGCAUCUUUAUCACUUUCCUAGGCCCUGGUUUAUCUCUAUCCACAUUCAAUCUUUCCUAAGUCUAAUUUACCCACACGAUUAGUAAUGCCAAUUCUGUGUGCCGAAUCACCUGAUUUUAUAGCUACAAUUAUUCCUCUCAUUCCCCUUCUCCCUUGUGAAGGUAGGACUCGAUCCCAAGACCUUGGGCACAAGCUCCCACCUCAUAAUAAAUCUACCAUCGUUAAGCUCCAAAAAAAAAGCAUUCACAGACCUAAUUUCUUUUCACGAAGUACCCUCUUACUCUUGCCAUAUUAGAUGAUCUUUAUACUCAAACCAUGGAACCCAUGUGCUUCACACAGUAAAAGAAAGGUGUUCGUUGGAGGGAAGCCUUCAAGAAUAAAACCAGUAUCCACCCUAUGAGAAACGAGUAAAUGACACAUGGACUCUGGUUCCACACCAACCUAUAUGAUCUUAGUUAAUUGUAAACAGAUAUUUACUGUCGAAAAGAGGGCAUAUAGUUUGUCGACCUCCUUAAAGCAAGGACUGUGGUUUCACUAACCUGGGUAUACAAAAUCUCUGACGAAUGAUUAUCUCUGAAAUUUGAAGGCCCAAAGAAAAACCUUGAAAAACAAAAGCGAUGGAGAGAUGGGGGAGAUAUAUACAUCGGGUGCACCAAACCGAUGUAUAAAUAGCAGUAUAUCAGGAUAUACCGGACCAGCUUAUCAUAGUGUUUGUAAAUUUCAGCAUUACCUUCAUUAACUUAAAAGCUUCUCAUGCAUGGUAGUUUCAAGUUUCUACUUGGUCACAAUCUCUUUUGAUUAAGUUUUCUACUGUCUUGUUUUAAAGCAUCUCUUAUCAUUUAAAAUCUGGUCCACACUAUUGCAUCUUUUUUGCUGCAUUCAAAGCAAAUCAAAAUACAUCUGGCUUACAGAUUUCUCAAUGAAAUUACAAUCGUCAUAUCAUCCACCUGGCAUGGAAGAGGCUAAGAACUUCCACACAAUCGGAGACAAUUGUAAAAUCAGCUGAAUUUACAAGCUCAAGCCAUCUCUCUUGGUAAUCUCAUACAUCGGCAAACUAUAAUAUUAACCAGUCCAGACACCAGCCUCUGCUUUAAAAGAGUCUCAGUUGAUGGAAAAUCCUACUGAGGUAAGUUGUAUGCUCUUAAAAGUAGUACAACACCUCAAAACAUUAAUUAAAACUGUUUCUUUUUUCUCCUCAAAAUCGACUACUAAAUUGAAGGUUUUGGAUCUUAAUAAAAGUCAAAUGUGUGUAUCUUAGCUACACUAUAUAGGCAAAUGUGUGUAUCAUAGCUAGUACAAUUUAAUUUCGUAAAGUCAACAAAAAAAUACAAAUUUCAGAUAAAGCAUGGAAUCAGAAAAUCUUGCAAUCACCAAUGUUAGUAGAUAAUCGAAAAUUUUGGAUCUGAAUUUAAUUUAUUAAUUAUGCUCGAACUUACUAAAAAACAGGAGCAAACCGUAUAUUCAUAAAUUUCAUCCUAGGUAGCAAGAUCCAUAUAGGUAAAAUGAUCAAAAAAUACAACGUACUUUCACAAAUUUUUCACUUUAUACAAGGUACUAAAAAUCACGCCAAAAUAUCAAUGUACUUUGAAAAAAAUUUCACGUUAUACAAUCUGUCCAAAACUAGGUAACGGACUGCUUACGUGGCAAAUAAUUAUCUACGUGUAUUUUUAAAAAAUAAAUAAAUUAAACAACAUUUCCAACAUAUCAAAUGAGGCACAUGUUUCUCACAUGAUUGACCUCCUUCUUCCCUAUUUUAACAAUUGAAUUCAACAAAUGUAAAAAUCCCCAAAUCUGUAAAUCCCCAAUUCAAUUUCAAACCCUAUCUUUUGUGUUUUCAUCUUUUAGUGUUAAACUAAUUACUAGUUAUUAUUUAUUUCAAAGAGGAUUUUUCUUUUACACACACAACAAGAUUGUUCCACACCGAUUCUUUCUUUAGAUUCACCAAUUCACUAUACAUUAGUGUUUUAUUGGGGUUUUAGUUGUGAGAAAAUGGUUAAUUAAAAUUAGGGUUUGAAGAAUUAAAGAGAAGAUUUAGGGUUCACAUUUGCUAUGAGAAAGAGAGAUGGAAGAAAUGUUGAUUUAGGGGGUUUCGAUGUAAUGGAGUAAUACAUCUAUAUCACUAACAUCUUGGGAUUAAUAGAUGGUUUAGAUGUAAACAUUUGUUGAUGAUGACAUGUUUUAAAGUAGAUGUGUUGGUUUUAAUUUUACAAUCAGCAUUUCUUUAAAAAAAAUAAAAAUACAUGUAGAUAAUUAUUGGCCACCUAAGCAGUCCGUUAGUUAGUUUUAGACAGAUUGUAUAACGUGAAAUUUUUUUUAAAGUACAUUGAUAUUUUGGCGUGAUUUUUAGUACAUUGUAUAAAAUGAAAAAAUUUGUGAAAGUACAUUGUAUUUUUUGAUCAUUUUACCAUCCAUAUAUAUUUAAGAUAUGACAAUUAAGCAAUACAAAGCAAAAUUCAUAACUAAAUCAAUAAUAGAAAACAAAAUUUCGAGAAAAAUCAUGAAUCACCUUGCUCGAUUGAGGUAGUCAAUUGAGAGAGAAGAUGGCAGCAAACAUAAUAAGUAGUUCUCUUCAUCGAUUACUUUCAAAUCAAAACCCGAUCAUCUUGAAAAAGAAAUAACAUACCAACACAAAGAAGAUGAGAAGAAAUAUAUUAUCUACAAAAACAAAGAAUGUUGUAGAUCCAUGACUACGUCUCUGCUUCUUUUCUUUCUUCUUUGUUUCAUCAAUUAAUUCCAAUUUCGCCAUUUUCUUUUGCUUAUCGAAUCAAUAGAUCUAGGGUUUUCAGAGUGCAAUGCCGUUAGCCAAUCUAAUCUCGUUAGUUUAGUUUCUCUUUAUUUCCCCGAUUUAAUC
rnacentral:lncRNA from 1 species